UCUUCUUUUGUCCUUUCUUCUUUCCAAGUUUCUUAUUCUUUCCAACUGCCAUUUUGAUUCAAAAUUGAUGAUACAGUUGAAGCAACAGAGGGAGCUUUCUGGCCUCGAGCAAACAAGAAAAGAAAAAACAAA
rnacentral:ribozyme from 11 species